UUGAUCCUGGCUCAGAGCGAACGCUGGCGGCAGGCUUAACACAUGCAAGUCGAGCGGGCCCUUCGGGGUCAGCGGCAGACGGGUGAGUAACGCGUGGGAACGUGCCCUUCGGUUCGGAAUAACCCUGGGAAACUAGGGCUAAUACCGGAUACGCCCCUUGGGGGAAAGGUUUACUGCCGAAGGAUCGGCCCGCGUCUGAUUAGCUAGUUGGUGAGGUAACGGCUCACCAAGGCGACGAUCAGUAGCUGGUCUGAGAGGAUGAUCAGCCACACUGGGACUGAGACACGGCCCAGACUCCUACGGGAGGCAGCAGAAGGG
rnacentral:rRNA from 1 species